GUGGGGAAUAUUGGACAAUGGGCGAAAGCCUGAUCCAGCCAUGCCGCGUGUGUGAAGAAGGUCUUCGGAUUGUAAAGCACUUUAAGUUGGGAGGAAGGGCAGUAAGUUAAUACCUUGCUGUUUUGACGUUACCGACAGAAUAAGCACCGGCUAACUUCGUGCCAGCAGCCGCGGUAAUACGAAGGGUGCAAGCGUUAAUCGGAAUUACUGGUCGUAAAGCGCGCGUAGGUGGGUUUGUAAGUUGGAGGUGAAAUCCCCGGGCUCAACCUGGGAACUGCCUCCAAAACUGCAUGACUAGAGUACGGUAGAGGGUAGUGGAAUUUCCUGUGUAGCGGUGAAAUGCGUAGAUAUAGGAAGGAACACCAGUGGCGAAGGCGACUACCUGGACUGAUACUGACACUGAGGUGCGAAAGCGUGGGGAGCAAACAGGAUUAGAUACCCGGGUAGUCC
rnacentral:rRNA from 1 species